rnacentral:rRNA from 1 species
UCGUGCGCCGUCGACGGCCGUCGCCGGCGUGUGGCCACGGCGAAGGUGGUCGGCCCAGACGGCUCUUUGGUGCAGUUCGCGGCGCCCGUCAUGGCGGGCGAGGCGCUGGGGGACGCCGCCAGCGCGUCGAGCUUCCUGUGCAGCGCCGACGAGCUCCGCUUCGACGCGCCCGCCCGUGCGCUGGCGGCCGAGGAGGCGCUGCAGCCCGGGUGGCUCUACUUCGUGCUGCCCAUGUCCAUGCUCCGCCGGCCGCUCUCCGGGCAGGAGAUGGCCGCCCUCGCCGUCAAGGCCAGCUCCGCGCUCGCCGUCGCCAGCGGUAAGGGGCGGAAGGCGGCUCGGGUGGCGCCUCGCGCGGGAGGAUGGAGUCCCUGA